rnacentral:rRNA from 1 species
UAAGGAAUAUUGGACAAUGGAGGCAACUCUGAUCCAGCCAUGCCGCGUGAAGGAAUAAGGCCCUAUGGGUUGUAAACUUCUUUUAGACGGGACAAAACCCCUUUACGUGUAAAGGGUUGAUGGUACUGUCAGAAUAAGCAUCGGCUAACUUCGUGCCAGCAGCCGCGGUAAUACGAAGGAUGCAAGCGUUAUCCGGAAUUAUUGGGUUUAAAGGGUGCGUAGGCGGACUGAUAAGUCAGUGGUGAAAGCCUGCAGCUUAACUGCAGAAUUGCCGUUGAUACUGUCAGUCUUGAGUACAGUUGAGGUAGGCGGAAUGUGUCAUGUAGCGGUGAAAUGCUUAGAUAUGACACAGAACACCGAUUGCGAAGGCAGCUUGCUAAGCUGUAACUGACGCUGAGGCACGAAAGCGUGGGGAGCGAAACAGGAUUAGAGACCCUGGUAG